rnacentral:miRNA from 10 species
GGUACCAGUUAAGAAUGCAGGCCCGUGGGCCCCACUCCAGUCCCACUUAACAGUGUCUGCAGUUGGGGUGCAGGAAUCUGCAUUUU